rnacentral:rRNA from 1 species
GAUGAACGCUGGCGGCGUGCUUAACACAUGCAAGUCGAACGGAAAGGCCCAAGCUUGCUUGGGUACUCGAGUGGCGAACGGGUGAGUAACACGUGGGUGAUCUGCCCUGCACUUCGGGAUAAGCCUGGGAAACUGGGUCUAAUACCGGAUAGGACCACUUCUUGGAUGUUGUGGUGGAAAGUUUUUUCGGUGUGGGAUGAGCUCGCGGCCUAUCAGCUUGUUGGUGGGGUAAUGGCCUACCAAGGCGUCGACGGGUAGCCGGCCUGAGAGGGUGUACGGCCACAUUGGGACUGAGAUACGGCCCAGACUCCUACGGGAGGCAGCAGUGGGGAAUAUUGCACAAUGGGCGCAAGCCUGAUGCAGCGACGCCGCGUGGGGGAUGACGGCCUUCGGGUUGUAAACUCCGUUCGCUAGGGACGAAGCGUUUUGUGACGGUACCUGGAGAAGAAGCACCGGCUAACUACGUG